rnacentral:tRNA from 1 species
GUCCCAAUAGCUCAGCUGGAUAGAGCGUUUGCUUGCGGAGCAACAGGCCGGGAGUUCGAAUCUCUCUUGGGACA